AGCGACGGGAGCAAUCCGUGGUGGCGAGUGGCGAACGGGUGAGUAAUAUAUCGGAACGUGCCCAGUCGGUGGGGGAUAACGUAGCGAAAGUUACGCUAAUACCCGCAUACGAUCUAAGGAUGAAAGCGGGGGGAUCGCAAGACCUCGCGCGAUUGGAGCGGCCGAUAUCAGAUUAGGUAGUUGGUGGGGUAAAGGCUCACCAAGCCAACGAUCUGUAGCUGGUCUGAGAGGACGACCAGCCACACUGGGACUGAGACACGGUCCAGACUCCUACGGGAGGCAGCAGUGGGGAAUAUUGGACAAUGGGCGAAAGCCUGAUCCAGCCAUGCCGCGUGUGUGAAGAAGGUCUUCGGAUUGUAAAGCACUUUAAGUUGGGAGGAAGGGUAGUAACCUAAUACGUUGCUACUUUGACGUUACCGACAGAAUAAGCACCGGCUAACUUCGUG
rnacentral:rRNA from 1 species